rnacentral:rRNA from 1 species
UCGAUCUCAAAUCAGGCGGGACUACCCGCUGAACUUAAGCAUAUCAAUAAGCGGAGGAAAAGAAACUAACAAGGAUUCCCCUAGUAACUGCGAG